UCUGCACUAAUUUCUACUUUUUUCUAGCUCUACAAUUUUUAAAGCAAUUUCUAAUUUUUCGGUAAAAGGAUUAAUCACAAAUACCCACAGCCAAAUUUGCUUUUGAAAGACUUGGAUUUUGCAGUCUUAUGUGUGACAUUUGUGCUGUGUUAUCUAUGGCCGCAUCCAAUCAUAUCUUACUAAAUUUUUGUACCGCGCUACCUAAAAUUUUCCCACUACCGGUAAUUUGAUAAGAGUCUUUGUCUUCUUCAGUCAGGCACGAAAAAAAAAAUGUUGGUUCAGAUCUAACUAUUCAAUCAAGAGCUAGCUCAGGACAAAAAGAAGUGUGCAAUUAGGGGACGAUACCGUAGACAGACAAUAGACAAAUUUUUCUUUGAAUGGUUUACUUUUGACUAAAUGAUCGGUGAUCCAACACCACUGAUCGUUUUUCAAAGGGACCCAUGUUAUGGAUGAAAAUUGAUAAAACUUGAACCCUAUUUUUUUUUCCCCCUCUCCGUUGUGUGAAUCAACCUUGGUUAAUUAAACUCACCGAAAUUGGAGGGGGAAAAAAUCUUGAAAAUACAUAAUAAUCUGCUCCAUUUCUACUUAAAAACUUUCUCUUUUAUGCAUCAUACUGGCCUUAAAUUCUUGCAGCAGAAAGCAAAACGCAGGGACCAUAAAGCCAUCAAUAGUUCUCUAAAUUUCCAAAUAUAUGCAACAACAAUAGUCAGUACACAAACUACUUUCAGGAGAUUUAUUUAACAACUUAGAAACGAGAUGUAAUUUGUAUUUAAAAUAUAAAUCAAUGACUAUAAGCUUAUUAUAACAAGCAUAGGAUGUGACCAGCCUAUUUUUCUUUAGCAAUAAAAUGAGGUUCCACAAGCUGCCUGGACAUAGGGUGUGUUUGGGAGAGCAGCUGCCUAUAUUCUAGGAGGAUAUGCCAGUGCGGCUGCCUCAAACGUAGGGAUGACAAAUAUUCAAUUAUGGAUGGAUAAUAUCCAUCCAAACACAAAUCCAUAAUUAUCCAUAAUGGAUAUAUCCAAAUCCAUACACAAUAUUUAAUAUUGGACAUGUAUAUGGAUUUUAUCCAUAUAACUAUGGAGAUCCAUGGAUAUCCAUGGAUAUUUUAUUUUUA
rnacentral:lncRNA from 1 species